rnacentral:rRNA from 1 species
GAUGAACGCUGGCGGCGUGCUUAAUACAUGCAAGUCGAGCGAAGCACCUUAGCGGAAUUCUCCGGAAGGAAGGUAAAGUGACUGAGCGGGCGACGGGUGAAGGUACGCGUAGGUAACCUGCCUUAUACAGGGGGAUAACAGUUAGAAAUGGCUGCUAAUACCGCAUAAGCGCACAGGGCCGCAUGGCCCGGUGUGAAAAACUCCGGUGGUAUAAGAUGGACCCGCGUCUGAUUAGCUAGUUGGUGAGGUAACGGCCCACCAAGGCGACGAUUGGUAGCCGGACUGAGAGGUUGAACGGCCACAUUGGGACUGAGACACGGCCCAG